AAUGGUAUUGUACUUUUGUUUUCUUUAAAUCUUUUAUUUGUUACUUGCAGUAAAAUGGAAAUAGUUAUGUAAAUAUUACAUAUAGUGUUAUAAGAAUUAGAAAUAUGAAUUCAAAUUAGAAACAUUAUAUAAUGGGUAGAUAUACAUAUUAUUCCUAGAAUAGAAAAUUAUUUGUAACUGUCAUGAAUAUACCGUAACAAAUUCUAAAAUUAAAAGUAUUUAUACCGCAGUUCACCAGAGUCCAUAACUGCGAAAAGACCAGUUUUAGUUCUUCACGCAUCUCUAGUGCGCAUCUUCGCCCUGAUUGGCAAUAUUCCCAAACGAAGUGGAAAGCGAUUGGCAGAGAGCUCGCUGCGUUCCCCCACCAUCUUCCAACCUGCGCGUCACAGUUAUGGACUCUGGUGAACUGCGUCGUUGGUACAUACGUGUAUUGUCAAAGUCAAGCGACUAUUGAGAUAUAACUCGUUUUUUUAAGUAUUCGCUUAUCGUUAUUAAUUGUAAAUUGGAUAAAAUUUAUCUAUUUUAAACAGUUUUUUCUUCGUGGCAAAAAUAGAAAAUAAAUUCAAGCAACGAAGUUAUCGAAACCCUAUUCAAAUUUACUGCGGAAAAAUUCCAUUCGCGCCUGAAGUUUCAAUUUCAAAUGUCUCUUUUCAUCGCUUAAAUAUAAAGAUCAUAUUUGUAGUUACGAUACGUAGAAAACGCUUAAUGUUUCACAAAUUUAAUUGUUCGCUUGUAAUAGAACAGUAUUUGUACUCUUUAAGACGUAUAUUACGCAAGAUAAUGUGGGAUAAUCUGUGGUUAAAUUUUCUUAGAUUGCAAAGGGUAUACUUUUGUAAACAUAAAACAUAUACAUAUAUCUUAUUUAAUUUAGACUCAUCACGUACGAAUUUAAUUACAGAGUAAGUAACAUUAUAUUCGCUAUUAUGUAUGUAUUUAGAUGAUAUUGCAUUCGUUUCAAUCGUCUUGAAUGUCAUCCAUCGUUGUUACCGACACGAACACAAUAUGAGGUAGAGAGAAAUAUACGUAGAUAUUUCAAAGAUCUUUGUAUCAUAAUAUGUACAUCGUAGCAAUGAGUCAACGGCUUACAGCGAGUUGACUCUCAGAUAACCUUAUUCGCAAAAAUAUAUAGUAAGAAGAUCUAAGAACAUUUUUACCGAUAGGGGUUUACGAGUCAACAUUUAUCUCGCCAAUUACCCGGAAUAAUAACUUUAAACGUCCAUAUCGCUUCUUUAAUUAUUUCAUCGAGAUGAUGCACGUUGCAUGGUUCUUUCCAUGAUUACUGUUCAUUAAUUGCAAUAAGAUUUUAAUAAGUGGAUUCAAGGAACGAGAAUAUACGAGGAUUUUUAUCUUUUAAGAUUUGAUUAAACCAUGGAAGGACAUUGAGUCAGUCUCUUCAAGAAAUGUAAAGUCUAGAAGAUUUUGAAAUAUUAGUAAUUCGAGAAGCGUUUGCUACUUUUAAAAAGCUGUUACAUUUAAACCUGUUAUUAGUCCAUGACAUUGUUAGUCAUUCAUAUUAUUUUUAACUGUAUGUUUAUCAGUUACUAACAUAUUACUAUUGUAAAUACUGACGUGAAAGCAUCAAGGUGAUCACAUAUGACAUUGUAUUUAUUUAACGCUUACUACCGCUCACUUGAUAUCGCGUGAGCGAUCCUCAACACUUGAAUAU